UACGUAGGGUGCGAGCGUUGUCCGGAAUUAUUGGGCGUAAAGAGCUCGUAGGCGGCUUGUCGCGUCGACUGUGAAAACCCGGGGCUCAACUCUGGGCUUGCAGUCGAUACGGGCAGGCUUGAGUGCGGUAGGGGAGACUGGAAUUCCUGGUGUAGCGGUGAAAUGCGCAGAUAUCAGGAGGAACACCGGUGGCGAAGGCGGGUCUCUGGGCCGUAACUGACGCUGAGGAGCGAAAGCGUGGGGAGCGAACAGG
rnacentral:rRNA from 1 species